rnacentral:rRNA from 1 species
AGAGUUUGAUCCUGGCUCAGAACGAACGCUGGCGGCAUGCUUCAUACAUGCAAGUCGAACGCGUGGCUUCGGCCACGAGUGGCGCACGGGUGAGUAACGCGUGGGAACCUGCCUUCUGGUUCGGAAUAACCACGGGAAACUGUGGCUAAUACCGGAUGAGCCCUACGGGGGAAAGAUUUAUCGCCAGAAGAGGGGCCCGCGUCCGAUUAGGUAGUUGGUGGGGUAAUGGCCCACCAAGCCGACGAUCGGUAGCUGGUCUGAGAGGAUGAUCAGCCACACUGGGACUGAGACACGGCCCAGACUCCUACGGGAGGCAGCAGUAAGGAGUAUUGGACAAUGGGCGAAAGCCUGAUCCAGCAAUGCCGCGUGAGUGAUGAAGGCCUUAGGGUUGUAAAGCUCUUUCGGCGGGGACGAUGAUGACGGUACCCGCAGAAGAAGCCCCGGCUAACUUCGUGCCAGCAGCCGCGGUAAUACGAAGGGGGCUAGCGUUGUUCGGAAUUACUGGGCGUAAAGGGCGCGUAGGCGGCGCAAGAAGUCAGGCGUGAAAGCCCCGGGCUCAACCUGGGAAUUGCGCUUGAUACUCUUGUGCUUGAGUUCGGGAGAGGUGAGUGGAAUUCCCAGUGUAGAGGUGAAAUUCGUAGAUAUUGGGAAGAACACCGGUGGCGAAGGCGGCUCACUGGACCGAUACUGACGCUGAGGCGCGAAAGCGUGGGGAGCAAACAGGAUUAGAUACCCUAGUAGUCC